AAUCCUGGCUCAGGAUGAACGCUAGCGACAGGCUUAACACAUGCAAGUCGAGGGGCAGCAUGAGGUAGCAAUACCUUGAUGGCGACCGGCGCACGGGUGAGUAACGCGUAUGCAACCUGCCCGAUACCGGGGUAUAGCCCAUGGAAACGUGGAUUAACACCCCAUAGUACUUUUAUCCUGCAUGGGAUGUGAGUUAAAUGUUCAAGGUAUCGGAUGGGCAUGCGUCCUAUUAGUUAGUUGG
rnacentral:rRNA from 1 species